CGAUUCCCGUUCUACGUAAUUUUUCUACUGUUGUGAUCACCAUUUUCUUCUCUACAGAUUGACCAGAGCAAAACACCCAACCGCAACGUGAGCCGGAGGAGCCGACGCACCGAGAGUCUCGUCGCCGGUAAGUUUUAGUUUUUAUGUUCUUUCGACCAACCGAGAACCCUUAACAUAUUUUCUCGGAGGGAUUGAUGCAAAAUUGGCCGAAUUUGGUUGAAAAAGAUCAAAAACAGCUGACCCGAGGCAAACCAUUGUCGCGGGCGGCGGCGCUAUCACCGGAGCAGUAUAGAGCCGCCGUGCUGAAAUUUUAAAAUUGGCCAAAAUGGGUCCUAAGACUGAUUUAGGGUUUGUUUGGGACAUUUUUAGGUACCUAUAGUACGUUUUGAUUCCCGAAAAAAAAUUUAGGAAACCUGAGAACUGCUAGUGAGUGCAGUCAAUAGUUUAGCCUUUCGGACAUCAAAUUGAGUAAGAAUCCCUCACCCUAUGCUCUGUUAUAGAAUUGAAGUCUAAUUAACAAUAAAUACGAUAUUUUGUACAAUUUAGAAAAUGUUCAUGAUUAAUUACGGAUUGGUAAUGGAGCCAAAACUAGAAACUAUUCUCUAUUGAUUCUGUUGAUUAUUUUUAUAGUUUAAAUGCAUGAUAGUACCGUAUUAAUUUAUUUUAUAACUUUGAAUGUAUGUAUGUUGUUUUACGUAUUUACGGUUAAAUUGAAAAAAUUGAGGUUUUAGGUAAACGGAAAACUUGUGUGAUUAAGUGACUGGAUGAAACGGCAACCUUACUGGACAUCCUGGGAGAUGGUAGAUGGACCGAAUACACAGGAAACCCUACCGUGAACAUGUCUCAUACCAGACGGGGUAUAGAGACUUGGUAACUUGGCUCUCAUACAGGAUGGGGUAUGGGAACGACUUAUUUCACCCUCAUACCGGACGGGAUAUUGAGGUUUGGUAAUUUGGCGCUCAUACCGGAUGGGAUAUGGGGACGACCCAUAAUUGAGAAUGUUAAAGGAAAAGUUCACGCGUAACAGAGACAUCCCUAUGAAUCCCCAUGGAUACUAGGAGGCUAGUGGAAAAAGGGCAAUUGUUGUUUGAUGAUUUGAAUAUGAAAAUAUAAUAUGUGUUAUGUUGCCAAUUAUCUACGGAAUCAUGAUAUAUAUAAUGUUAUUAUUUUCUAUGAGUUGUUUUCUAUAAAUCUCACUACGGUAAGUGGAUGGUAAAUGGUUUUAUUAUUGAUAAAUGAAUUUGAUUAAUUUAGUGCUCUAUUAGUUGUUUUUUUUUUUUCUACCAACCUUCAUUUCUGUGUUGGUGAUAUAGUGUGAUAUUAUUACUGGGAUAGUGUUGCUCAUCACUUAUUUAACCAUUUAAGAUCAAGAGGAUCAGGAUCCAGAGCCCGAUCCGCAGGAGAGUUGCGAGUAAAAUGCUAGUUUUCUUUAUUUUCCGUUCAUUUCCUUAUUUCUUUGUAUUUUUUUGAAAAAUGUGAAUUUCGGAAUACUAAUUGGUACUUUAAGUUAUUGUGUAAGGAAUGUAAACCUUGAACCUUUAUUUCACUUCCGUACUUUAAUUAUCAUUUAUUUCCUUUGAAUAUUUCAAGGGUCACUAUAAUUUUGCUUUAUAUUUUAAAAAUGUGAUUUUGAUACGUGUGCAUCACUCAUUAUGGAAAGAAGUUAUUUUGAAAGCAUCUGCAUUAUACUAGACUUCAAUCUAGCCAUACAUAACCAUUUCAUAUUCGAGUGUAUUAGCAAAGUGAUAAGUGUGUACCCAUAAAUAACCAUUUCGUGUUUGAGUGUAUGGAGAAACAGUCUGAUCUGCGUACUUUAACUGUUCUGUGUUCAGAGGGUAACAAUAUUUUAAAGUACUCAUAUAUGUCAUUCCGUAUUCGAGUACAUAGAGAACUAGUGAUAAAUAUCUGUUUCUAUGCAUAAUGUAUGGUAAUUAAUUGAUCCUUCAUAAUAGUGAUGAAGCAUACAAUAUGAAUCUGUUUUCUGAUUUGUACGUUCGUCUUCUGAUUCGUAUCUGUUUUGGAAAAGAUUAUAUGAUAUAUGUUUUGUUGUAUUUAAAGAAACUAUAUAUUGUAUGUACUAUGUUGUGAUUUCAUAAUAUUGCUUAUUAGGAUAUUUUAUCUCAUCCUCUAUUACCAUCAAUAUACUGAAGAUAUCACUGCAGAGUGAGCGGUGAUACGAAUGAAAUUUCUGAAGUUUAGACUGUAAUAUUAAGGUUACUGUUUCUUAUUUUUAUUUAAUAAUGUAAGUAAUAAAAUUUAAAGUCUCGUACAUAUAUUUAUAUUUUAUAUUUAAGGAAUAUAACGUUUCUGUAAUUUUUUUAUUAUUAAUAAAAUUAAGUUAUUUUACUUAACUCGAGUUUAUAUGAUUUAAAAAAAUAGGCUCCCGUUAUUACCCUAUAAGACGGGGUAUGGUCUGUAACAAAUUUUAUUUCUAAUACUUAAAAAUUUUCUUUUAUUAUCAUAAACGUUUCAUCAUGCUAUGCCAUUAACAGAACCGGUACCAUUAUGGAAUUUGCAUUCCUACUACUACAUGGGCAGGAGCACAUAACACAUGCAUCAAAUUGGUCAUAACAUUACAUCGGUAGGUGACCUAUAUCACAUAGACACAUCCCAUCAACGUCAGGACUAGGCUUUCUAUCCACCCAUGGGUAGGGUUCACCACCCUCGAAUUUCAACCAUAUUAGCCAAAACAAAUUUCUAAAUAUUUUAACUCUCCAAGUUUCUUUUUCUUUUCUUUUAUUUAUUUCUUAUUAACGAAUUGCUAUAUUACUACUAUCUAUUACUUAUUUAUUUUCUUUCUCAAGAUCUUAGACUUAUUUAAUUAUUUCACUAAUUUUCUCUUAUCUCAAAAUCUUUUUCUCUGUUUUUAAUUCAAUCAUCCAAUUUAAUUUUCAUUAUUUUGUCUAAUUAAUUAAUUUUGUAUUUCUUUAUUUGUUACUUCCUUUUUAAUUCAAUCAUCCAAUUUAAUUUCAUCAUUUUAUUUAAUUAAUUAAUUGUGUAUUUAUUUAUUUCUUACUUCUCUAUUUACUUAAAUUUCCCUAAUAUCUUAUUAAAAUUAUUUAUUUAAUUUCAUUUUAAAUCAUACCCUUACUUAUCCCUUCAUUCAGAUAGCUAAUGAACUCUAACGUCCCCGGAAAUAUUUAAAAUGAAAUGAGUAUUUAAAUAUAUCAAAUGCGGAAGCGAGAUCAAAAUUUCGGUUAACAUCCCUUACACAGAAACCCAAAAACGUACUUAAAAUAUAAAAGAUUAAACUAACUAAGAGAGAAACUCGAAAAUAAAACUAUGAGUGUGACUACAGAGUCUCUAGGCAUCCCCUUCGUCGUCCUCCUGCGGAACGGGCUCGGGAACCAUGUCUUCCUGAUCUGAAAUGGUUAAAUAAGGAGUGAGCUACACUAGCCCAGUAAGAACAUCACGAUAUCUCACCGUCACGGAGGUAAAGGUGUGUAGAAAAACACAAAAGACCAAUGGAGCAUAAUUUACAAUAAACUCGUUUAUUAACAUGAAAACCUUUACCAUCCACUUACCUCGGUGGAAUUUAUGAAAACAAUAUAAGAAAAAUAAUAACAUUAUCACAAUCAUGGAAUAAUAUAAGCUGUAAAACAUAGCACUUAUCACGCUUUUUGUAAUUCAAUCAUUAUACAACAUAUCCCUUUCUCAUUUACCAGCCUACUAGUAUCCAUGGGGGUCCCUAGGGGUCACGCUACCCGUUAACCUUUAACAUUCAUAAUCAGUUUCCAGGGCCGUCCCCAUACCCCGUCCGGUAUGGGCGCCAAAACCAUAAACCUCAAUACCCCGUCCGGUAUGAGGGUGAAACGGGCCGUCCCCAUACCCCGUCCGGUAUGGGCGCCAAAACCAUAAGAUCUCCAUACCCCGUCCGGCAUGUGAGACCACAAUCCCGGUAGGGUUCCCUAUGGACCCGGUCGGUCCACCAUCUCCCAGGAUAUCUAGUCAGGCUGACCCCAUCAUACAAUUAUCAGUCUACACAAUGUUUCAUUUCCCUUUUCCUCAAUAAGCAUCAUCAAUUCACAUUUAAACAAGCAAAUCGUAAUUCAUGCCGAACAGACAACAUACAGUAUCAGUUCUUCAGUCAUUCAACCCAUAAUUAAUAAAACAGUAAUAUAUGCAUUCGAAACUAUAAAAUGAACACAUCAAACCCCAUAAUGCAUUUAAAGCUGUAAAACAAGCCAAAUAACAGUAAAUCAUCAAUCACACUAGACUCGGGCUCCAUUAGCAACCUUAAGCAAUUUCACACAUGCGUUAAUUCAAGAAAUACCGUUUUAUCAUUUUGAACUUUAAUACCGUGAUAGGAAAUAGGGUGAGGGGUCCUUACUUGUUUUCGGGAUCCGAAUACGAUUCACAGUGCACCUGCAGGCCGUCCCUAAUUUUCCCUGAAUUUUUCCCGGGGAACUGAAACACACUAACAGUACCUGCACGUGUUCCAAAAAAAAUCCAAAUUAGGCCCAGGGCCCCUUUCGGACCAAAUCGCAACUCCGGCACGGCGGCUCCGCCGUGCUCCGGCGACGGCGCCGCCGCUGGCGGCGGCGAGUCGCCUCGGGUUGGCUAUUUUCGGCCGUUUUCGGCCGAAUUCGGCCACACUCGCAUUGGUCCUUGUUAGAAAACAACCCUAGGGCCCUCGGGGGGCCAAAAAUCACGGAAAAACGGAGCUUACCGGCGGCGGCGCUCUCGGGUACGGCGGCUCUCCGGCGAGGUUUGUGUUUUGGUGAUUCAGCUUCGGUCAACCUGUAGAGAAAAGAAUGGUGAUCACGGUGAUAUAAAAAUUGCAUCGAACGGAGGCCGGGAAGGACCUCGUCGGAGGCAAAAAACCGAGAGGGGCGCGGCGGCGCCGCUGGGUUUCGGCCGCGUAUUCCGGCCGUUUGGCCGGGAUUUCGGCCUCAAUUUGGCCAUAGGAGGAAUCAGCGGAAAAAAACGAGUCGGGGGUAUGAAAUUUACCUCGAUCGGCGGUCGAAGAUUUCUCCGGUGCGGCGGCGGGUGGCGGCGGUCGGCCUCUAGUUCGUCUUCUCCGGCGAGCGGCAGCGGCUAGGGUUUGUGGUCUGGUGUGGGGGUUCUAUUUAUAACCCAUUGCCUUUUGAU
rnacentral:lncRNA from 1 species